rnacentral:rRNA from 1 species
AAGAUAAUGACGGUACCCGCAGAAGAAGCCCCGGCUAACUCCGUGCCAGCAGCCGCGGUAAUACGGAGGGUGCAAGCGUUGUCCGGAUUUACUGGGUUUAAAGGGUACGUAGGCGGCCUGAUAAGUCAGUGGUGAAAUGCGUCGGCUCAACCGGCGACGUGCCAUUGAUACUGUUAGGCUUGAGUGUUGUAUAGGUAGGCGGAAUUGAUGGUGUAGCGGUGAAAUGCAUAGAUACCAUCAAGAACACCGAUUGCGAAGGCAGCUUACUGGGCAAACACUGACGCUGAGGCACGAAAGCGUGGGGAGCGAACAGGAUUAGAUACCCUGGUAGUCCACGCUGUAAACGAUGCAUACUAGUUGUUGGUCCUUUGGGGCCAGUGAUGCAGUUAACGCAGUAAGUAUGCCACCUGGGGAGUACGUUCGCAAGAAUGAAACUCAAAGGAAUUGACGGGGGCCCGCACAAGCG